CCUACGGGAGGCAGCAGUGAGGAAUAUUGGUCAAUGGACGAGAGUCUGAACCAGCCAAGUAGCGUGAAGGAUGACUGCCCUAUGGGUUGUAAACUUCUUUUAUAUGGGAAUAAAAUGAUCCACGUGUGGGAUUUUGUAUGUACCAUAUGAAUACGGAUCGGCUAACUCCGUGCCAGCCGCCGCGGUAAUACGGAGGAUCCGAGCGUUAUCCGGAUUUAUUGGGUUUAAAGGGAGAGUAGUUGGAUUGUUAAGUCAGUUGUGAAAGUUUGCGGCUCAACCGUAAAAUUGCAGUUGAGACUGGCAGUCUUGAGUACAGUAGAGGUGGGCGGAAUUCGUGGUGUAGCGGUGAAAUGCUUAGAUAUCACGAAGAACUCCGAUUGCGAAGGCAGCUCACUGGACUGCAACUGACACUGAGGCUCGAAAGUGUGGGUAUCAAACAGGAUUAGAUACCCUAGUAGUC
rnacentral:rRNA from 1 species